UACAGAGAGUGCAAGCGUUAAUCAGAAUUACUGGGCGUAAAGCGCACGUAGGUGGAUAUUUAAGUCGGAUGUGAAAGCCCUGGGCUUAACCUAGGAAUGGCGUUCGAUACUGGAUAUCUUGAGUAUGGUAGAGGGAAGUGGAAUUUCCGGUGUAGCGGUGAAAUGCGUAGAUAUCGGAAGGAACAUCAGUGGCGAAGGCGACUUCCUGGACCAAUACUGACACUCAGGUGCGAAAGCGUGGGGAGCAAACAGG
rnacentral:rRNA from 1 species